UACGAAGGGGGCUAGCGUUGCUCGGAAUGACUGGGCGUAAAGGGCGCGUAGGCGGAUUGAUCAGUCGGGCGUGAAAUUCCUGGGCUUAACCUGGGGGCUGCGUUCGAGACGGUUGGUCUAGAGUUUGGAAGAGGGUCGUGGAAUUCCCAGUGUAGAGGUGAAAUUCGUAGAUAUUGGGAAGAACACCGGUGGCAAAGGCGGCGACCUGGUCCUUGACUGACGCUGAGGCGCGAAAGCGUGGGGAGCAAACAGG
rnacentral:rRNA from 1 species